rnacentral:rRNA from 1 species
GACGAACGCUGGCGGCGUGCUUAACACAUGCAAGUCGAACGGAAAGGCCCUGCUUUUGUGGGGUGCUCGAGUGGCGAACGGGUGAGUAACACGUGAGUAACCUGCCCUUGACUUUGUGAUAACUUCAGGAAACUGGGGCUAAUACCGGAUAGGAGCUCCUGCUGCAUGGUGGGGUUUGGAAAGUUUCGGCGGUUGGGGAUGGACUCGCGGCUUAUCAGCUUGUUUGUGGGGUAGUGGCUUACCAAGGCUUUGACGGGUAGCCGGCAUGAGAGGGUGACCGGGCACAAUGGGACUGAGAUACGGCCCAGGGUCCUACGGGAGGCAGCAGUGGGGAAUAUUGCACAAUGGGCGGAAGCCUGAUGCAGCAACGCAGCGUGCGGGAUGACGGCCUUCGGGUUGUAAACCGAUUUAGACUGAGAAGAAGCGUGAGUGACGGUAAUGGGUAAAGAAGCACCGGCUAACUACGUG